ensembl:snoRNA
AUCCUUUUGUAGUUCGUAAGUGUGACGAUUGGAUGUUCACGCCAUUGUGUGACAUGUGCCUCCCUUAAACCUUGUUACGAUGUUGGCACAUUACCCGUCUGAUG